rnacentral:rRNA from 1 species
AUUGAACGCUGGCGGCAGGCCUAACACAUGCAAGUCGAGCGGAUGAAGGGAGCUUGCUCCUGGAUUCAGCGGCGGACGGGUGAGUAAUGCCUAGGAAUCUGCCUGGUAGUGGGGGAUAACGUCCGGAAACGGGCGCUAAUACCGCAUACGUCCUGAGGGAGAAAGUGGGGGAUCUUCGGACCUCACGCUAUCAGAUGAGCCUAGGUGGGAUUAGCUAGUUGGUGGGGUAAAGGCCUACCAAGGCGACGAUCCGUAACUGGUCUGAGAGGAUGAUCAGUCACACUGGAACUGAGACACGGCCCAGACUCCUACGGGAGGCAGCAGUGGGGAAUAUUGGACAAGGGGCGAAAGCCUGAUCCAGCCAUGCCGCGUGUGUGAAGAAGGUCUUCGGAUUGUAAAGCACUUUAAGUUGGGAGGAAGGGCAGUAAGUUAAUACCUUGCUGUUUUGACGUUACCAACAGAAUAAGCACCGGCUAACUUCGUG